rnacentral:rRNA from 1 species
CAUCGCCUCUUGAUCAAACAUAAGAGGUCCAGCCUGCCCAGUGACUUACUUAAACGGCCGCGGUAUUAUAACCGUGCAAAGGUAGCAUAAUCAUUUGUUCUUUAAAUAGGGACUAGUAUCAACGGCACCACGAGGGUUAUACUGUCUCCCCCUUCUAAUCAGUGAAACUGACCUCCCCGUGAAGAGGCGGGGGUUAAAUUACAAGACGAGAAGACCCCAUGGAGCUUUAAACCCAAUAAUAACUUUUAUUUAAACAACCCACAAAAUCAUAAAAAGUCUAUAUAUUGGUUUUAGGUUGGGGCGACCACGGAGUAAAACAAAACCUCCUUGACGAACAGGUCUAAUCCUAAUCCAAGAGCCACUGCUCUAAGAAUCAAAAAUUUGACGUAACAUGAUCCGGUAACCGAUCAACGAACCAAGUUACCCUGGGGAUAACAGCGCAAUCCAUUUCAAGAGCCCUUAUCGACAAAUGGGUUUACGACCUCGAUGUUGGAUCAGGGUAUCCUAGUGGUGCAGCCGCUACUAAAGGUUUGUUUGUUCAACAAUUAAUACCCUACGUGAUCUGAGUUCAGA